AAUACAACGAUUUAUUUCGUAUUCCUUUUAAAAUUCGAAGUAACACUCAGAACUGCUCGUUUAUCGCGUUCAGGUGUAACAGAAGGUCUCUCAUUCCUUUUAGUUUUCCUAUAAGCUCCUGGCGUUUUUAAUACAACAUAUACCAGCUAUACAUUUUUCCCACCUGUCUGGCAAUUGGUGGAUGCCACGCCAAAAAAACUGUCACUCUUUUGAGGCAAACCAGUCGUCGAGGCAUUUUUGUACAUUUUCGUAAGAAGUGAAGUGUUGGUCAGAAAGUGCGUGUCCCAUCGAUGCAAAGAAAUGGUAAUCAGACGGAGCCAAGUCUGGCCGGGAUAGGUUCUGCUACGGGUGUAGAACACGUCGCUGCUGGGCUACUGUGCUGUUUUCCUUCUCAUUUUUGUAUCGUGGAAGAAAAAUCGGACUGCGACGUAACCUAAGGUUCGUAACCUAAGGCGCUAACCACUGCUCUGUCGUCGUCCGAUACUACUUGGUAUUUAGUGCCACCACAGAAAUAAGGAUGGAAAAUUAAUCAAGUACCUUAUAAUUUUGUCCAAUCAAAGUCAGUUACAUUUUACAUACAUCUUUUUCCCUAACUUUUGUAUUGUAUAUCACAUGAGGAAAUUUUGUAUGUUCAUUGUGCAGAUAAUGCGUAACAUAAAAACACCUUUAUCCCUUAGAGUGCUAUGAGCGCGUAUAUGCGUCUGGCGAAAGCUAUCGGUGUGGACUAAGGACAUAUAUAUGCGUUUUCUGUAAGUGUCCGGCAUGGACUAAGGACGCAUAUAUGCGUUUGUCAAUUUUUCCGAACACCUAGGCAGAAGUAAUACUAUUACGUUUGUGUGAGAUAAAUAUAAAUGCAUUCCUUAGUAACGGCAGUAAACAAAUGCCAAUAAUGCCUCGUUAUAACAGUUGUUUACCUGUUUCGCGGACAGUCGCAUCUAAUUAUCAAGAAGAAAAUGUGUUGUUUGUGUGAAAAAUAAGAGAAUGCAGAAAAUGCGAUGUCGGAUUAUGUAUCGAUAAUUGUUUUGAAAUUUUUCACACACAACUGAAUUAUUAGCUUGUGUUAUAUUUACUAAAUUUAGUUUUAUAGUUUAUCGUUUUCUAGUUUAUUACCUAAAUUCUAGUUUAUUGUAAAUUUCAAUGUUUAUAAUAAAUAAUUAAUACUAAAAAAUAACGCUCUUGAAUCGUUUAAUCUGGUGCAAAAGAAUUACUAUAACUUAUUACGAUUUGCGCUUUGAAUAGUCAAUCAACAGAGUUCAGUCUAGCGAAAAAGUACUCCGUCCACAGCGAUCGUCAGCGCUAGCCGCGCGCCGUCCGUACGGACCGCAUACGACGCGAGUAUUCAGCACUCUAAGGGAUAAAGUCAUGACGUCUGGAUAAAUGGAUAGAAGAAAAAUGGACUUCCGCCACUAGGGGCUGUUUCCUAUUUUAUGUGCCGCAUUGAAUGUGUUAAUUAAAACGUCCCUCAUAAAUUAAAAGGAAAUCCAUAAGAAUGAUAAUAAUAAACUAUAUACAUGUACUAACAUAUUUAUUGUUUAAUCUUACUAUUUAUAAAAUCAAUUAUUUAUAAUUUUGUUUGUAAGGAACAAUGUUUACGAUAGAUGUUAAAAUUAAUACUUUUUUUAAAUAAAUAGAAAUUAAUAGUAAAUUAAAUUACAUUGAGCUAUGUUUCGUUCACAUUUUAGUGUUUCUUAUAUGUUAAUAGACAUCUCAUUAAAAAUGAAACUGAAUGUUUACGAAUAUUUUAGCUACGAAAGAAAGUAUUAUUCUUGACAAUAUUGAUAUGUAAUGAUACAAACAGUAUUGAAUCAUGAGGGUUGGCAAUAAUAUAUAAAUUAAACAACUAACUUUUUUGUUAUGAAUUGGAUAUGAUAUAAAAAAAAAACUAGUAAGUUUAUUGAGAUAUGGAAUAACGAAAGGAAUGAGGUGUUGGUAAGAAUUGACAAUUUUUAGUACGUACAAAAUUAUUGAUUAAAUUUUGUUAUUCAUGAAAUACUAUUUAUUAUUAAAUAACAUCAUUGUCAGUAAAUAUACGUCUUUUCAAAACCAUUAAAUUACGUUUCAAUUUAACUCUAACAUUUUAUUGCACCAAAUUGAAAGCUAUUUUUGAAGUUUCCAACAAGAGAAAAUAAAAAUAAUUAGAAUGUAAAAUUAUAUAUAAUAAUCAUAAAUAAGUUAAUGUUAUUAAAUAAUAAAUAAUAUUGAGGUAAUGUUUGGUGUAAGGUACCAAAGAAAUACUCGGCAGUAUUCAAUAAUAUAAUUAUUUGACAAUCAACAAUCCUUGCCUUCAACUGGUUUCAUACAGUCCUCAAUUACCACUGACUUCCUCGCGUCUCGACUAUGCUUCGCUGUUAAAACUCGACUC
rnacentral:misc_RNA from 1 species